rnacentral:lncRNA from 1 species
CCUCACAUUCACAAAGUGUUGCAGUAUACUUAUCCAUUAUUUUUUAUGAAAGAUGAUCGGAAGAAAAGAUGGAUAAAAAAAAAAAAGAAUGGAUGAAGAAGAAGAAGAAUUAAUCUUUCAUUUAUUCUUUCAUAUAUAUAUUUGGUAAAAUAUGUAAAGAAUGAUAGAAAUAAUUUUCUCAUCUAUUUGAUAUAGAAAAAAUAAAAAGAAGAAUGGAUGAUAUUGAUA